UGGUUUUAAACUGAGAUAGGGGAGGUUUAGGGUAGAUAUUAGGAGGAAGUUUUUCACUCAGAGGGUGGUGACACACUGGAACAGGUUGCCCAAGGAGGUUGUGGAUGCCCCAUCCCUGGGAGCAUUCAAGGCCAGGCUGGAUGUGGCUCUGGGCAGCCUGGUCUAGUGGUUGGCGACCCUGCACAUAGCAGGGGGGCUGAAACUUGAUGAUCAUUAUGGUCCUUUUCAACCCAGGCCAUUCUAUGAUAUGUGCUGUGGGGGACAAUUUGUGGCUGAGAUAUGGGGCAGUGCACUGGAGCAAUGCUAUGGGGCAGCACUAUGGCAUGGUAAUCGCUGGGUGAUUCUGUGUGACAACGAUCUGGGGCAGUGCUAUGGCGUGAUACUAUGGGGCGACAGUAUAGGGUUACACUGUGGGUGCAGCAUUAUGGGGUGACAUUAUGGGACAGUACUAUGAAGCAGCGCAAGGGGGGUGAUUCUAUGGGUCGAUGCUAUGGGACAGAACUAUGCGUCCCCCCCAGACUGGGGACUCUGUGGGGAAAUGCUAUGGGGUGAUGCUAUAGGGCAACACUAUGGGGCAGUGCUCUAGGAAGCUGGUAUGAAGUGAUGCUAUGGGUCAGAUCAAUGGGAUGUCACUAUGAGGCAGUGCUAAGGCGUGACAUUACGGGGCAGUGCUAUGAGGUCACAGUAUGGUGCAUUGCUAUGGAGUGAUGCUGUGGGGCAGUGCUGUUGGGUAGUGUUAUUGGAAUUUGUUGUUGGGUGACACUAUGGGGCAGCAGUAUGGGACAGGGAUAGUGCUAUGCGGUGAUGCUAUGGGGCGCUGUUAUGAGGUGAUGCUAUGGGACAGCACUAUAGGGCAGCGCCAUGGAAUGAUGCUGUUAUAAGGUAACACGAUUGGGCAGCGCUAUGGGGUGAUGCUGUGUUUUGACCCUAUGGGGCAGCACUGUGUGGAGAUGCUAUGGGGUGAUGUCAUGGGCCAGAGCUAUCUGGCAAAAGUAUGGGGUGAUGCUAUGGGGCAGCGCUUUGGAGCUGAGGGAAGUUGCGGGGGUGAUGGCCAAAGUGCUCUCCAUCAUCUGUCAGCACUCCUGGUCAGCUGCAGAGGCCCCAGAAGAUGGAGAGUUGCCAACGUGAUCCCAUCUCCAAGAAGGGCUGUAAGGAGGAUCCAGGAACUGCAGGCUGCCAGCCUGAGCCGGGUGCCAGGAAAGGGUAUGGAGCAGAUCGUCCUGAGGAGAUCGCACAGCGUGUGUGGGACAGCCGGGGGAUCAGGAACAGCCAGCGUGGGUUGGUGAAGGGCAGGGCCUGCCUGACCAACCUGAUCUCCUUCUGUGAUGGAGGGACUGCCUGGGGGGUGAGGGAAAGGCUGCUGAUGUGGUCUGCCUCAGCUUCAGCAAAG
rnacentral:lncRNA from 1 species